CCUACGGGAGGCAGCAGUGAGGAAUAUUGGUCAAUGGACGAGAGUCUGAACCAGCCAAGUAGCGUGAAGGAUGACUGCCCUAUGGGUUGUAAACUUCUUUUAUAAAGGAAUAAAACGAGGCACGUGUGCCUUUUUGCAUGUACUUUAUGAAUAAGGAUCGGCUAACUCCGUGCCAGCAGCCGCGGUAAUACGGAGGAUCCGAGCGGUAUUCGGAUUUAUUGGGUUUAAAGGGAGCGUAGAUGGGUUGUUAAGUUAGUUGUGAAAGUUUGCGGCUCAACCGUAAAAUUGCAAUUGAUACUGGCAGUCUUGAGUACAGUUGAGGUAGGCGGAAUGCGUGGUGUAGCGGUGAAAUGCUUAGAUAUCACGAAGAACCCCGAUUGCGAAGGCAGCUUACUAAACUGUGACUGACAUUGAUGCUCGAAAGUGUGGGUAUCGAACAGGAUUAGAUACCCGAGUAGUC
rnacentral:rRNA from 1 species